UGGAGCGCCUUCCGUCGCCCAGGCAAAGCGGGGAAGAUCCGGCUGAGCGCGGCGCGGGGGAGUCCGGGCUGGGCAGCAGGGCCCCCCCCCUCCCUCCCUCGCCCCUGCUCCCGCGCGGCGCAAGCAGGCAGGGCUCGCCGGGGCGGGGCGGCCGGGGCGGGGCAGCGCCUGCUGGGAACAUCAUGGCUACUCUGGCCAACGGGCUGGCGCAGCAGCAGCAGCAGCAGCAGCAGCAGCAGCCGCCUCCCGGCGGAGCCGCCCCCCCACCUCCGCCGCCGCCGCCGCCCCCGCCGCCGCCGCCGCCGCCGCAGGCGGAGAGCGCCGCUUUCAGCACCACGAACAGCGCCGCGAGGAUGAACGGGCUGACGGCGCCGGCGCCCGGCCCGGGGGGCUCCAUCGCCAUGAAGGACCACGAUGCCAUCAAGCUCUUCAUCGGGCAGAUCCCGCGCAACCUGGAGGAGAGCGACCUCAAGCCCCUCUUCGAGGAAUUCGGCAAGAUCUACGAACUCACCGUGCUCAAGGAUCGCUUCACCGGCAUGCACAAAGGUUGUGCCUUUCUUACAUACUGUGCCCGGGACUCGGCCCUAAAAGCUCAGAGUGCGCUCCACGAACAGAAGACACUGCCUGGGAUGAAUCGUCCAAUCCAAGUGAAACCAGCAGAUAGCGAAGGCCGGGGAGAAGACAGGAAGCUCUUUGUAGGCAUGUUGGGGAAACAACAAAGUGAGGACGAUGUCCGGCGACUCUUUGAACCCUUCGGACAGAUUGAAGAAUGCACCAUCCUCCGAGGCCCUGAUGGAGCCAGUAAAGGAUGUGCCUUUGUCAAAUACGGAAGCCACGCAGAAGCUCAAGCCGCCAUUAGCACUCUCCAUGGGAGUCAGACCAUGCCGGGUGCAUCCUCCAGCUUAGUUGUGAAGUUUGCCGACACAGACAAGGAACGAACUCUGCGGCGGAUGCAUCAGAUGGCAGGACAGCUGGGCAUCUUUAAUCCCAUGACGAUCCAGUUUGGAGCCUAUGGAGCAUACACACAAGCGGUAGGAGAUGCUGGCCACCCUGACUGUAGGGCACCAUUAUUUCCCCUAAAGGUGAAGCAGGAACAUUUGGACAAGCCAGAAGAUGCUAGUUGGCAGCAGGCAGCGCUCAUGGCUGCUGCACAAGGAAGUUGCCUCAACCCCAUGGCAGCCAUCGCGGCAGCACAGAUGCAGCAGAUGGCUGCCUUCAAUGUGAGCGGCUUGGUGGCGGCUUCCAUGACACCCUCAUCAGGUACAAGCACACCUCCAGGGAUCAGCGCAGCUCCAGUCCCCAGCAUAGCUACACCCAUUGGCGUCAAUGGGUUUAGCCCUCUCCCGCCACAGACUAACGGACAGCCAGCAUCGGAAACCAUUUACACCAAUGGGAUCCACCCGUACCCAGCUCAAAGUCCCACCGUGGCAGACCCCCUGCAACAAGCCUACGCAGGCAUGCAGCACUAUGCAGCAGCAUAUCCAGCCGCCUAUGCACCAAUCAGCCAAGCCUUCCCACAGCAAACUCCCAUCAUCCCCCAGCAACAGAGAGAAGGUCCUGAGGGCUGUAACCUCUUCAUUUAUCACCUGCCCCAAGAGUUUGGCGAUGCAGAACUUAUGCAGAUGUUCCUUCCUUUUGGCAGCGUCAUCUCUGCCAAAGUCUUUGUUGAUCGUGCCACCAACCAAAGUAAAUGCUUUGGUUUCGUCAGUUUUGACAAUCCAACUAGUGCCCAGGCAGCCAUUCAAGCCAUGAACGGCUUCCAGAUCGGCAUGAAGAGGCUAAAGGUCCAAUUAAAGAGGCCAAAAGAUGCAAAUCGACCCUACUGAUCCCUGUUCACCCCGGCUUGGAAAACAGAUUGGAUGCCACGCGGCAUACGAAGAGUAUUCCCCUUGUCCCAUGUGCCGUUUCCAGAACUUGUUAACUUUCUUUGCAACAUAUCACGGCGGAAAAAGGAAGCGAUCAAAAGAGGUCAACGCAGAGGCGAAGCAGAGGUGCUGGGGAAAAGAAAGAGCUCGUUUCGUUCUAUUUUUUUUCUCUCUCUUUUUUUUAUUUUACUUUUUAUUAUUUAUUUUUUUUGCCCCUCCUUUUAAAAUUUUUCAAAUCGGUUGGGACUCGGUUUUCUUUUUUCAUUUUGGCUUUUUUUUUUUUUUGAUGAUGACGAUGAUGAUGAUGAUGAUGAUUUUGGUCUCUUUAAGGCAAGAAAACAAACAAACAAACAAAAACAAACAAAAAACAAAACCCAAGAAGGUGGUUGUGGCCAAAACUUGGAACUGAGGGAAAGAGGCGAUGAUGCUCUUUGCCGACUUGAAACUCCAUGGACGGGAACGGGGCCGGUGUAGAAGACUUUUCUUUCUUUUGGAAAAUAAUAAUAAUAAUAAUAAUGAGGAGGAGGAGGAGGAGGAAGGGGGGGAGACAAAAAAAAACAAGCAUCCUUCGCAGCAGAAGGGUGGGACUUUGUGAGAGAAAAGGUUGUGGGUGUGACACUUGCAACCGGGAUCAGCUUGUCUCCAAAGCAUUUGUCUGAUUUUCAAGAUUCAGAAGCGGGAGGGAGGGAGCAAAAGGCCUAAACCAAAGCUGAUGGGUUUGGACCAGGGAAACGCUUUUGUUUUCAAAGGGGAAUGAAGAAAGAAAAAAGAAAAAAAGGAAAAUUGUUUUUCUCCACGUCUGUUUGGGAAGAGAAAAAAAAAAGAGAGAGAGAGAAAAUCAGUUAACUAAGAGGAUGUUGAACCUAACAGAAGAGAGAGAGAUAUAUAUAAAUAGGUCUAUAUAUCUUUUUUCCCAUGGAUUGAGUGAGGUCACAGGUUUUUGCCCCAGUCCUGGGAGAUUGGAUUAACUUCUUUCAAAGUCAUAUCAUUCCUUAGAGUUUAGGGACCAAAGGACUAUUGCUUUUUUUAAUAUAUAUAUAAAUAUAAAUAUAUAUAUAUAUAUAAAUUAAUUAAUUUAAAAAACAAAAGAAAAAAAAACUCAAAGAGGUUUAAAAAAAAAGAAGCAAGCAAGCAAGCAAGCAAGAAAAUAACCGCUUCAAAUCCAAGCUACAAAGUCGUCUCGAAGAGAAGGAUGUCAGCAUCAACGCAGAAGUCGCUUCGGGAACAACCUGGCUUAAGGCUGGUGGCUUUGUGACUGCAUUGAAUGCUGUAGGGUUUCAAGGAGCAAAACUGAGGUGCGGGUGGGAGUUUUUUUUGGGGGGGGAGAACUAUUUAUCCCAGUAGCAAUUUGUGCUCUCUCUUCCCCCCUGGAUAGAGGCUUAGUUUUCAAAAAAAUAAAAUUGUUGGGGAAGGAGAGAAGAACAGGAUGUCUGCCCCUGAUCUACAUCUCCCGUGUUGAAAAGGAAUAUUUGAUCAGUGCCAGAAGAUACACAGAACUAACGUGAACAUCAGCAGUGGCCCUUCUGUAGACUGUUAGAUCUUGUGGCUCAGCCUAUCCCCACUGUGGCUGCCCUAUUUGAGACUCAAAAGACCCCCCUUGGGUUGCGCAGGAGAGACCCUGCUCCUAAAAAUAGGCAGAAUUUAUCCAGAGCAAAAACUAAAUUUGAUUUAAGUUACGUUCAGAUGUGUUUAUUUCCCACGUACUUCAGAACGUUCUUUGGCCAUUCAUUGUGAAACUUUGAGGCCAAAUUCUGGAGGUCUUCGGAGGAUGAGCCCAAAACUUUAAGGAAUGGCAGAAGAGCCUGGGGACUUUGGACCCCAAUGUCCAUGGAUCAGGAACAGCUGCCUGGGAUUUAGAGCAGUAGUUCUUUAACUGGGGGUAUUUACCCCAAAGGGUUACUUUGGGCCUAUCCUGGGAUAAUGGAGCAAUUUGCAAAUUGCUUCUUUGUGAGUUGAGUUCCAUUUUAGGAUAGAGUUGCGUUUUAGGAUUGUUCUUUUACACUUGUGUAAAACAAGAGAGUCUUUGGGGGGGGUUGUGUGUGGAGAUCAUUAUAUUAUUCAAGACUAGAGAAAGGAAUUAUUGGAUCAAACCAUUUAAAAACCACUGAUUUAGAGACAGGUUUUUCCUCUCCAUUGUAAGAGCUGCUUAGAAUUAAACCCGGAACGUUUUUUGUUUUGUCUCACUGGAAAAAAACCCCAACCUGUUCCUUUAUUCAGAAUUCCUCCUUGCCCAGAUUAAUGCAACUUACUCUUAAGUAAGCAUGUGCAAAAUUGCAUCCUUACUCUGUGUUUGAGGUCUUCUGGUUGCCCCAUAUUUCAGAAAGAAAACCAGGGGUAUAGAUUGAACAUAACCCCCAAGACUAACUUAUUUUAAAUGUAUAACGUAUCUUGCUUUUCAAUUCACUUUAGUAUCCUCUCCCACCUCCAUCCCCCCCAAAAAAAUUAAAAAGGGUUUAGACUCCAGAAACUGCCUUAAUGCAUUAAUACCCAAUCCCUCUGGAAAUUAUCUAUUAUCUAUGUAAAAAAAAAAAUCUAACCGAAAUUCAGGGUGAAUCAAUGAAAGCCCACAGAUGGAUAACAUCUGGCCACAGAUAACUCUAUAUCACUAGUUUUGAGUGGUCAUUAGCCAGUGUACUCUUAGAAAACAUACAUGUUCAUUGCAUGAUUUGCCAGAAAAAAAAAAUAAAUGCGACCUGUUCUCUCCCAAUCAACUGAAGUCAAAAUGAUGGAGAGUACAUUUCAUAUCUGUCUUUAAGCCCAAGCCAACUUUUUGAAUAACUUUUCAGUCUUUUUUGACUGAAGGGGCAGCUGGUAGAUUGGGGAUGCAUCUUUCCCUACUCCCAGUAAUCAUAUUUUUCAUUGAAUCUAACCCCAACACCCCCCCCCCAUAGAACAAGCUUUUGAGUUCUGUAGAGCCACUGAAGGUAUGGAAGAAGCUUUUCCAAACCGUAUUUCAAGGGGCUAAACUUGGUUUUAAACGCUCAAAAUGUCUAAAAGAGAAAGGAAGCUGUAUUCAUCCAUCACAAAACAAAAUCAAGGACGAUAUUAAAAUAACGCCUUCAUGGUGUCUAUGUAUGUAUAUGUGUAUGUGUGUAAACACAUGCAUAAAUGGAUGCAUACAUUUCCUUUUUAUCCUACAUAUGAAAGACAGUUCUGAACACCUGGAAGGCAGUUCUGAUCCCUGGAGCUAAGUAGCCAUUUGUAAGGGUCAAUCUAGUAGAGGCUUCCACGAAAGACAAUACACCAGAGUGACAAUGAACUCCUGUCAGUUCCACCACCCUCUCCCUUGGACCACUUAACAGCUCCAGAGGGCCAUCUCCUCCCCAUGGCCAUGCUCAGCCAAUCCAGAAAGAGAAACCUGGAUGUAAAAAGGCAACGUCUUUCAUUUCUGAAUGAGCACCUUAUCUCCCCUCACCCUGAAACUAUAACUCCUAAAUUCCUGGUGGGUGAUGGAGAAGUUCUACCAUGCUGGACUUGGCUCCAAGAAAAGCUUUCGGUGAUCUUUUAGAAAAGCAUCUCCUAUCUAAUCUUCACGGCAGUGUUUCUCAACCUUGACAAUUUUAAGGCAUGUGGACUGCAACUCCCAGAAUUCCAUAGCCAGCAAUGCUGGCUGUGGAAUUCUGGGAGUUGAAGUCCACAUGUCUUAAAAUUGUCAAGGUUGAGAAACACUGCUUCACGGCGUGAGCUCUGGCUUUGCACAGGAGAGUCUUCAACAGACAUAUUGGAAAGACACAAGCCUUGUUUUUUUUCCAUUGGAUCAUCACUCGGUAUAGGUUGAUUGUAGACGGGAGAGGAAGAGGCCAGCAAAUCCGUUGCCUUUGUAGAACCUUAUCUCUGUGUCUCUUGUUGCACUGGUAUGAUUGCAGCCAAAUUUAAUAUUGCUUUCUAGAAUCUGCUGGAGAGGAUGAGGUCAGGGGAAAGGUGGGAAGGAGGGAGGGAAGGGGAAUUCAAUUAAGGAAGUGCCAAAUAAGAAUGAAAGACAGUUAAGAUUCAUGAAGGAUCUGGAGGUUAUCUGUCCUUCAUGAUUCAUGUCCCCCAAUGCGGUCACUCGGCCACUGGACUUCUUCGAAUUCUUCUCUCAUUUUUUUUUUUCCUUUUCUUCCCUCUCUUUUUUUCCUGCUUUUUAAACUUUUCGUGCUUCAUUGUUAACAUGGUUUUAGAACAGAAUGCUUUUUUGUAGCGUGAUUUAGCAUUGAACAUAGAAGAGCCCCCCCCCAUUCAAAACAAAUGAAAACAAAGCAAAAAAAAAAAAGAAUCAAAAUGGGGGAAAACGACAAUCGAUUUUAGUGAUCUUGUGAAAGUGGACUUUUUUCUAAGAGUAAAAGAAAAAGAAAUGGCACACACACACACCACACACACACACACCCCACGACGCACCCAUAUGUGCACUCACAAAAAUACACAUGCACGGCAAAUGUUUUGUGGUGGGGCGUGGCAUAUGAUAGUCUAUUUAUUCAUGGCAGGGUAAAUGGCUGAAAUACAAUUCUUUUUUCCACUGGCAACGAAGAAUGAGAAGUCAGACAUAAAGCUGAAGCCCCGUGUAUGAAUGGUGCUGUUUCUUCUCAAGCCUACUUUGAAAACCAGGCCGUGUGACUGUGUAAAAAUAAGAACUGUGGGAUCUGCUUGCAGCAGGAUCUCCAUAACGGCUCGGUUCUUGGGAUCCUCUGCGCCAGGACAGGGCAACUUUUGAAUGGCCAGGAUCUAUAGGUAGCUUUCCUUCAGAGAUACUGAAGAGAACCAGGUCUCAUGUUGAGGGGGAGAGGUUCAAUUUUGGGGAAGAGUUUGCUAAGAUUCAUGGGAAAUUUGUAGGUUAAAAAAAAUGGAUGGGAUGGGAUGCCAGGUUGAGCCACUGGAAGGCUAUAAGCUACCUGAGAAACUCAACUUUGAAAACUGCUGGAUUGGCACAGUUGCCUGGAACUAACAGCUGGCUGGACUUUAGUUUGGACCGAGAACAAAGCCAAUGCGGUUGUUUUAUGUUAUACAUCUGCUGUUCUCCAUCAUUUCUUGAGGUAGCUUCCCCAAAGCUGGUGAAAGUUGCCAGAAUCCAUAGCCAACCAUCAGGCUAAAGAAAGCUAAGCUAUGGGGCUUUGUUUGCCUAUGACUGAUUCUGUCUACCUUGAAGAAGUCCUACGAGGACUAAUCUGCAAGACCCUUUCAACUGAAGCAACUCUCCUUGCGUUUUUUGUUGACAAGCCCUGGACACUUGACUUGAGGAAGGAUGCUUGGAGUAAUGACAGAAAUUUAGCAUAGAUAGCUGGCAGUAGAUUAGGGAUUUGGGGUGUUCAUUUGGACCCUUUCCUAGCGGUUUUAAUCCAUUCCCCACUUCUAAAUAGUAGGCAAUAGUUAGGUAAUGAAACAUCUGCAAGCAAACAACUGAGUUCAGAGAGCACCAAGAACUCCACACGGUAGGAAAAUCGUUCUGUAGGAAAGGGGUGGACGCAUCAUCUGAAUACAUCUCUCGGCUUCUUCCUUCAACCUCCACCUUCAGUUUGCGACUAUAACAGCAGGACCCCAUUUCUGCUCAUGAAAGGAGAGGUUUCAUUUCCAAAGCGUUCUUUCACCACCCAAACAGUAGGUCGCGAGCAAGGAAGCCAGCAUCUGGGUUUGAAGGUCUCUUUCUGGUUCAUUUAAUCAACGUCAAAAAUCUUUUAUUCACAUAGGAGCUCAGGCAGUGUGGAAAAGACAAUGGGCAACCCUCGUGAAAAACAUUCCUUGCCUAUCUUCAUCGUAAGGUCAAGAUGUGGAAGAAGAUAUUCAUUGAGACAUUUUUCUUCUCCUUUCAGCCCUUGUGGAUCAGGCCAAAGAUCUGAGAUCUUUUAUUAAUGCCAGGAGAUUCACGGGAGCUCUUAAAGGCUGUGUGCCUUUCACUUUCUUCAGCGUCUGGGCCAGUGUUUCUCAAUCUUCUUUUGAACCAGCCACCUGACCAUUGAAGGACACGUUCUUCCUCUUUCUUCUCUAACCCAGUUCAUCUAAGGGUGAUAAACCCUGCUAAGCUCCAUGUUUAUGGCUUCAGAGAGUGUUCAUUGCUCCCUCUCCAUGAUUGUUUCUACAGAGGUAUAGAACAUAGAAUCUGAAGGUUGGAGGAGACCUUGGAGGUGCUCUAGUCCAAUCCUCUGCUCAAGCAAGAGACCCUAUAUCAUUCUAGACAAAUGGCUGUCCAGUCUCUUUUUGAAAACCCCCAACAAGGAACCAUCCACAACUUUGGGAGUACAGACCUCCUCCAUAUAUCUGGAAUUAAAGAACUUUCGGAUCGAAGAUUAAAGCUCUCCAGAGAUCCAUUUUCCCUACGCUAGGUAGUAAACCAGAUCUGAAAUGCACUUGUUUGUUAAAUCAUUCCAAGAGAGCAGACAUUAAUGCUUCUACUGUUAAGUAUGUCUAUCCUGAUGUAAGAGGAGUUGACCUACCCAGGUUUUUUUUCCUGGGAAUAUGUAGAACCCCCAAGUGUCUCUGCAACAUGUGGGAGAGGCCACCUGGAAUGAGAACUUGCAGUUGGCAAAUGUUUUUCUACAUUAUUCUCAGAAAACAUUCUGAGAUUCUCAGAAAUCUUCUCCCUUUCCUCCGGCUUUUGCUUAGGCGAUGGGUCAAGGCCUACGAUGCCCCCUGCCCUUGAAACGUCAUCCUUGGUUGGGAAUCCUCUUGGCCACCCUUGAAGGCAUGAGGAGCCAGGGAUGAGGUCUAUGCCAAGUAGACAGUAAUUGUAACCUUUCUUGAUAACCAAAUUGAUGGUGGAUGUAGCAGUGACCAACUCACCCCUGUGUCUAUGCACCUGUAAGGAGGGAAGGGUGCCCCCUUUUUCAUUCAGAGCAUGAUAAAUUGGUAGGUCGAGAAUUUAGGCCGUCAACAGAAGGCACGUAAAAAGGGAUCCCUGUUUCUAAGAUGACGUUUGAAGGCCACCACCUCCAUCGAAGUGGCCAGUUCACAUGAAGGACUGUUUGAGACAAAUGACCCAUUUCACAAACUUUCCACAAUUGUUGUUCCUUUAGAUAAAGAUCAUGGUAUGAAUUGUAGAUUUGGCUUUCUGUAUGCAAGGUAUUUCUGUUCUUUCCCUCCAUCCAUUUCACGUCCAGACUACAAGCACAGGGAAGUGGAAACAUUUGGUUGUAAAUGCGGUUAUAUGACUGAGUCAAAACCUUUUAAGAAAAUCUGUACCUUCUGCAUUUUUUUUUCCCAUCGGGGUCAUUUGAAAGCUGCCAUCUCAGGUGGGCACACGGGAUUUCAAUAAAAAUUACCUCCCCCCGCUCAUUAUCCGAGUCUCAUGCUCCUCUUCACCUUCUUCGUAACUGUGUUGUUUUCUUUCAGCCCCACUAAGACUUAAAAAUGUCAGCAGCAGGAAGAAGUCGACAACUAUUCCCCACUUCCUAAAAUUUAAGAUGCGGGUGAAUUAUGUGGGAAGUGGGGAAGUUUUGGCAUGGUAAGAAUGAAGCUAAAGAAAAUGGAAAUUUCAGUCAUCAUUCUCCAAUGGGGUACCUGCUUAGAGGCUGAUAGAAAUCCCAAGUAUCUCCAGGAUGGGGAAAUCUGAAUUAAAUGAGGAUUGAUGAACAGCCAAAUUAGGGUCUUCAUCAUCCAAAGUCUACUGUUGGACCAAUUAAUGAGAUUUUCCUCCUCAGUUGGUUACUCGUUUUAAGUAAGAUCUUUGGCUACAGCAUUCUCAUCCCGGAUAGCCAAGUUGAUGUCACUGAAGGCCCACAUACAAUGAUGGUUUGUGCUCAGUUUGGCUCUCUGAAUAGCCACGCUCCCAAUCUUAGUCUCUCUCUUUUUUUAACCCUGUUCCCCUCCUGAAUUUGGGAAAAGGAGCUUUAGGCCAUCUCCAUCCAUUUCCCAUUCCCAUGCACACAAAACACACACUCGUGGGCUUUUGGUUUCCAUCUUUCAAAAAGGAACACUGCCUCCCCAAUAGUGGGGAGCACUUUUUUGGCAUUCCAGUGGAUUAUACGAUUCUUUUGAUUGGUCUUUCUUAUGAUUUCCUUGUAGUAUAAUAAAAGACAGACAAAAUGGGCGUUGUGAUCUCUGUAGCUCUGUAGUUUAAAAUGAUAUUCUGCUUAGACUGAAAAUAAAGCACAGUCCAGUGGGAAUUUGACCGGA